rnacentral:rRNA from 1 species
GAAACUUUCCCACUCGAGACUUUCGGAGGAGGUAAUGACCAGUUCCAUUGAUGCCUUAUGGUAUUGUGGAUAGGGGUACGGUUUUCCACCGUACCGAAACCUAGCAGAGGGCCAGUCUGGUGCCAGCAGCUGCGGUAAUUCCAGCUCUGCGAGUUUGCUCCCAUAUUGUUGCAGUUAAAACGCCCGUAGUCUGAAUUGGCCAGCAAUGGUCGUAUGUAUUUAUACGUUCACUGUGAACAAAUCAGGACGCUUAGAGUAUGGCUACAUGAAUGACUCAGCGCAGUAUGAAGUCUUUGUUUUCUUCCGAAAACAAGCUCAACGAGAGCCAUCGGGGGUAGAUCUAUCUCAUGACGAGUGGUGGAAUACUUUGACUCAUGAGAGAGAAUCUGAGGCGAAGGCGUCUACCUAGAGGGUUUCUGUCGAUCAAGGGCGAGAGUAGGAGUAUCCAACAGGAUUAGAGACCCUGGUAGUUCCUACCUUAAACGAUGCCGACAGGAGUUUGUCACUUGUUAGUGGCAGAAUCUUUGGAGAAAUCAUAGUUCUUGGGCUCUGGGGGAACUACGACCGCAAGGCUGAAACUUGAAGGAAUUGACGGAAGGGCACACCAGGGGUGGAGCCUGUGGCUUAAUUUGAAUCAACACGGGGAAACUUACCAGGACCAGAUGUUUUUUAUGACUGACAGGCUUUGGGUCUUUCAGGAUAUUGCUUUUGGUGGUGCAUGGCCGUUGGUGGUGCGUGGGUUGACCUGUCUAGCGUUGAUUCAGCUAACGAGCGAGAUUAUCGCCAAUUAUAUACUUCGUCUAAGUCUUUAGAUAGAAGUUCUAAUUGGGACUCCCUGCGAUUUUAGCAGGUGGAAGAGGGUAGCAAUAACAGGUCCGUGAUGCCCUUUAGAUGCUCUGGGCUGCACGCGUGCUACAAUGUUAGGAUCAAUAGGACUGCAAAGCCGAGAGGCCGCGCUACUCUUAUAAUCCCUAACGUAGUUGGGAUUGACGUUUGUAAUCAGCGUCAUGAACCAGGAAUCCCUUGUAAAUGUGUGUCAACAACGCACGUUGAAUACGUCCCUGCCCUUUGUACACACCGCCCGUCGCUCCUACCGAUUGGAUGACUCGGUGAAAUCACCGG